GACGGAGGGUGCUAGCGUUGUUCGGAAUCACUGGGCGUAAAGGGCGCGCAGGCGGCCCCUCGCGUCGGACGUGAAAGCCCGGAGCUCAACUCCGGAACUGCCAUUGAAACUGUUUAGCUUGAGGAUGAGAGAGGUGAGUGGAAUUCCCAGUGUAGAGGUGAAAUUCGUAGAUAUUGGGAAGAACACCGGUGGCGAAGGCGGCUCACUGGCUCAUUACUGACGCUCAGGCGCGAUAGCGUGGGGAUCAAACAGG
rnacentral:rRNA from 1 species